rnacentral:tRNA from 1 species
AAACUUUUAGCUCUGUUGGUCAGAGCAGAUGGCUCAUAACCACCCGGUCAUAGGUUCAGGUCCAUUUGAGUUUU